ensembl:snoRNA
ACUGCCCCUCAAGGCGCUGCAGGUGUGGCUGCUGUGUCACAUCUGCGUCACUAGGUGGCAGAGAGAAUCGAGGCUAUGUCUACACUCAGUGUUCUGACCCCUGAAUGCCUGAAUGAUUAGUAGCCUGACACGG